UGUGUGUGCAGCAUGCAAAGUGUUCAGAGCAGAUGGUGUACAGUACUCAUCUCACAGUUCACUGGACACUGGCAGUGAUGUGAUGCCUUCAACACCAGCCUUUCCCAUCACACCACCCACUCCAUACGUGAAGAGCAUGAUGUGUUACUCAGCGUUCAGACAGACGCCGUCUCCUUCAUUCGGAUCCUGUAGAGCUGAACACGAUAUGAGAGAGAACACAGGAUUCAUUGGAGCUUCAAAUGAAGGUUUCCAGCAUCACCCGACCAUACAUCACUGGAGUCACGGCCUUCUCUGGCCGGUACAGCCUUCAUUCAUUCAUUCAUUCAUUCAUUCAUUCAUUCAUUCAUUCAUUCAUUCAUUCAUUCAUUCAUGUAUAACACAGUGCCAGGUUUAACAGAAAGAAAGAAUAGCUGAAAUCCUGACCUGUCUUCUCUGGGUCACUGGAUGUUCUGGUCUGUAUUGUAUUGUCCAGACUGUAUUGAUGCCAUGCUUUGAUUAUAAUAUUGGAAUAAUACAUAUCUAUAAACUGUAACAAGGAUUCUGAGUCUUAGUUAGAAUCUGUGUGUGGAGUUUAUCAAAGAAAGUUACCACAAAUGGAUAUGAGAAGGCAGACAGUCAAAACCAGAGUAGCAGGCUAAUCUGUCAACAUACAAAGAGUGAUCGGGUCCAAGAAACAUCAGUCCAAUCAGUAACCAAUACAAACCAGAUAAUCCAGACAACCAAAAAUCAGAGAACCAGGCAGAAUCAUGCACAGAAUAAUGCUGGGUAAAGCAAGUAAACAGGCAAAGCUUCGCAGUGAGUUCAAGUAUGGUCUCUGAAUAUGAAGCACUCAAACAGGAAAUGAGUACAGAGGA